rnacentral:rRNA from 2 species
CACAUUGGGACUAGACACGGCCCAAACUCCUACGGGAGGCAGCAGUAGGGAAUUUUCGGCAAUGGAGGAAACUCUGACCGAGCAACGCGCGUGAAUGACGAAGUACUUCGGUAUGUAAAGUUCUUUUAUCGAGGAAGAAAAGCAAAUGGCGAACCAUUUGUUGCCGGUACUUGAUGAAUAAGCCCCGGCUAAUUAUGUGCCAGCAGCCGCGGUAAGACAUAAGGGGCAAGUGUUAUCCGGAAUUAUUGGGCGUAAAGGGUGCGUAGGCGGUCUAGUAAGUCAGUGGUGUAAUGUCAACGCUUAACGUUGUCCGGCUAUUGAAACUGCUAAACUUGAGUUAGAUAGAGGCGAGUGGAAUUCCAUGUGUAGCGGUAAAAUGCGUAAAUAUAUGGAGGAACACCAGAGGCGUAGGCGGCUCGCUGGGUCUUAACUGACGCUGAGGCACGAAAGCGUGGGGAGCAAACAGGAUUAGAUACCCUGGUAGUCCACGCCGUAAACGAUGAGUACUAAGUGUCGGGUUAAACCGGUACUGAAGUUAACACAUUAAGUACUCCGCCUGAGUAGUACGUACGCAAGUAUGAAACUUAAAGGAAUUGACGGGACUCCGCACAAGCGGUGGAUCAUGUUGUUUAAUUCGAAGAUACCCGAAAAACCCUUACCAGGUCUUGACAUGUUUUGAUAGUAAUAUCGUGGAGGUUACCAGAAACACAGGUGGUGCAUGGUUGUCGUCAGCUCGUGUCGUGAGAUGUUAGGUUAAGUCCUAAAACGAGCGAAACCCUUAUCGUUAGUUGCCAGCACGUUAUGGUGGGGACUUUAACGAGACUGCCAAUGAUAAAUUGGAGGAAGGUGAGGAUCACGUCAAAUCAGCAUGCCCCUUAUGACCUGGGCUACAAACGUGAUACAAUGGCUGUUACAAAGGGUAGCUGAAACUCACGUUCUU